CAGCUGCAGAGCCCUGGGCCCAGGAGGCUCUAGGCACCGGAGGGGAGGUGAUCCAGGGGUUCUGCCACCUUCUAACAGACAGUCCAGUGCUUCAGGGCCCGUGCUGGUAAGAGGUCACUGUGGAGGAGAGGUAGGUAGGAGCUACCCCAGGAAAGCCAUCCUUUCAGGCAGUACCUCAGUCUGUACAUUUGCCUUUGGCUUUUUUACUUUGCAGAGAAUGUGUGCAGCCUGAGAGGGCGAGAGCCACCUGCCAGUUAGGUUUGAUGGUCUUCAUCUGUCCUUGUGAGUAAUCUCCUAGUACUACGAGGGUCAUCAAUUCAGGCUGGACCUUUUCCAGCUGCAGGUGCCAUCCAGCCUGCCUUUGGCAAAGGAGGAGCAUUGAGGUUGAGUUGGGGAGGUAGGGAGUAGGUGCUGGGGUCUCCCUUACUUUCAGAAACACCCCGUAACUUUUUUUCUCACUCCCCCAGGUACGGCACACGGUGACGGCAGCAGCCUCCGACUGGGGUCAGAGCCAGUGGCCCGAGAACCUCUCAGCUCAGGGGAGGCAACCGAGUCAGGGAUCACAGGACCCUCUGAGCCAGCCGGGCGUCCUUCCUUCACAUUGAAGAUGGAUUCACAUCCCCAGCUGUGGGAAAGAUAAGUGGAGGACUCCCACCUGGAGAGGGGAUGAGAGCUGGGUCCAGUUUUAUGUUUAGGAGGGAGGGAUUUUCAGAUGAGCACAGGAGAAAGGGUCUGCCCUAACAGGCCCUUGACACACAUAGGAGGAGCAGUUUACUUUUCAUCACUGGAGUAGGAUGUGCAGGGCAGAGCUGUUCAGGUCUGUGUCGUGUCCUUUGUCCAGUCUGUGUUUCGUGUCUUACUAUUCACAGUCACCACAUCUUUGCUUUCUGUCCUCAAAGUUCUUAUCUGAGGCAUCAUUCCUAGGGUCUUGAACCUCUGCACUGCCCAGCCCAGUGCCCAUACCAUCCGUUCUUUGGCUCGCUAGCUUGGAUGUGCGUCAGAAUCGCAUCUGAGAAGUGUCAGGUCAGGUGUCUUUUACAGCCUCCUUACAGGUUGUAUCAGUGGCUGUGCCGUGCAGUCAUCCCUUGUCAUCCCCCCUGGGACUUGUGAGAAUCUAAUAAGAUUCUGAACAUAGCCUUGUCUCCCAUCCAUCUUAGCAAUUUUGUAGGCAGUUCUUGCCCCAGGCCAUUCUGUUAGAGUGUCUUUUCAGGCUCCUCAGAGCCUCCUCCGUUCAGUCUCGCCGUAUCCUCCGUCUUCUCGUGCGGCAGCACAUCCAUUUUGGCGUCGUUCCUUUCUCAGAGUUCUCUCUCCUGGUUGCACCACAGCACUUGUCUGGAAAUGUGUCCUUGGAGUUUGUGUUGGGCCUGGAACUGCUCUGCCCUGCAGUGUAGAGUUGGGGGUAGGUGGAGUAGAAAGGAGACUUCCCAGUUACCCUGUGAUAGGCUCAGGCACUGAGGGCAGGGCCUUAAAGUGAGGUCAGUGUUUGUUUGUGCAGGUUGUCUUUGGACCCCAGAGGGCUUGUCUAAGGAGAAA